rnacentral:lncRNA from 1 species
GAGGCGAGGCAGGGGGGGUCUCUGGUGGCUCUGCUCUCCCAGCCUGUGAACGGCACCCGCCACCUGAGGGCCUUGCUGGGCCUGGCGCUGCCCAGAACCCCUUCCCCCCGGACCCCGGUCUCGGUGGGUUGGUGAGAGCUGUUCUUGUGACUCGGGGCCGCAUUGCAAACUCCCGCGGCCCCGGCGCCUUAGAGGAAGGAGUUCACAGGCUCGCGGGGGAGUUCUGGAAGGAUCCUUCCUGCAGGGGCUGACACAGAGAGAGAGGGAGGCGGAGAAGCAGGCUCCACACAGGGAGCCCGACGUGGGACUCGAUUCCCGGUCUCCAGGAUCAGCUCCCGGCCGAAGGCGGCGCUAAACUGCUGAGCCACCCGGGCUGCCCGCAUCGCAGACACUUAAUUCCCUCCGGCGAAACAGGUCAACAGGGCUAUGAUCUUGGUGAUGGAAGAGGAACGUUCUGAGGACAACAGGUCCAGGAUGGUGCUGUGACUAUGGGCUGACAUGGAGAUUGAAGCUCUAGAGGUCAGAAGUCCAAAGUGGGUUCUCGCUGUGUGAGCAAGGCUCCAUUCCUCGUGGAGGCUCUAAGGGAGAGUCUGUUUGUGUUUUCCAACUCCUAGAGAUUGACCUCAUUCCUUGGCUUCCGAUCCCUUCUAUCUUCAAGCCAGCCAUGGCCAGGUGAGUCUUUCUCACACGGUAUCAUUCUGAACCCGACUCUCCUACCCUCUGCACAUUUAGAGGACCCUUGUGAUUACACUGGGCACAUCUGAAUAAUCCAGUACGACAUCUUUAUUUUAAGGUCAGCAGACCAGCGACCUUAAUUCCAUCUGCAACUUUCCUUCCUUCUUGCUGUGUAAUUCUUCAUAUUCAUAGGUUCUGGGGAAUGGGAUGUGAACAUCUUUGAGGGGACCAUCAUUUUGCCUGCAACAGAACUCUUAAAUUUGUUUCCACUCCGCGCCCCCCCCCCCCCCCCCCCCCCACUUUUCUUUUUAAAUCUUCGUGAUCAAUCUUUUUUUUUUUUUCCUUAUGAUCUUUAUGACUAAAUGUGAAAUAAGGAUAUUUCGUGCUAUGGUUCAAUUUUUUUUCUUAAUUGCUAGCAGUAAAAUUAGUAUUUUGGCCAUCUGUUUCUAAGAACAAGAGCAUAGCUAUAAUUAUAACCUAUAUCUUACUAAAUUAAGAAAUCGUCUUUCAUAUUUUUUUAGUUUUCAUGAAAAGGUCCCAAAGAAACCUUUUUAAAAAAAUCUACUUCCCUUUCGCUAGAUCAGUUAUUCUUGGAUAAUAAAAUAGUCCUUUAUUACUUUUUCAGCAAACAUGGUCCCACCAGCCAGCAAUACUCUCUCUCUCUCAUUUAGUGUUGGUCUUGAUUUUUUAAAGUGGACUCAAUACACGGUCACUGCAUUUAUACUUAUUAUUUCAGAGUUCUGAGCUCAGAUCCGAAGAUCAUGCCAGCACAGAAUUUCCUGUUGGUGUUGAAAGAAGUGUGCAGUGGCUCAGGGACAUUUGAUGAUUAGCUUUGUGCUUAGCUUGCUAUUGGGGGGUGUGGGCUCAGACUUAAUCAUGAGCAGGGCUCAGACUUCUUAGAAGUAAAAAUCUUUUUUUUAACCUAAAUGAGGUUUAAGCAGCUAAGUUGUAUUGCAGGAUGGCUCUGAACUCUUUGGGCGGACAGUUCGUGUCCGUUUAGCCAACCCAGUGAGAACUGAGGGAGGCUCAUCCAGACCAGGUGAGUGGGGGCACCGCAGAUGCCUCAUCACAUCCUCAACUUUGGCCUCUGUUGCUUUUUUAUCCCUGUCUCACUUCUGCAGUAGUGUUCACAGUUAGCUGUAGAGUGGGGAAGAGAGUGCAGCACCUCUGUGGAAAGAGAGUUUGAGAUUCUCCACAAAGCUAGAGCCACUGUCCCCAUAAAGUCUUGCUCUGGGCCGUAGACGCAGACUGGGCCUGUCCAGCCCCGACAGUGGCUGGGACUUCCCUUUUGGCUCGGCUUGGUCCUCCUCUGUUUUGCCAUCUGUGUCUGCCAAGAGCUGGACCUGAAGGCCUAACGUUUCCCAGUGGCAGCGUCCCUUGUCCUCAGAGACAACUUCUGCCUGUGAGAGCCCCAUGGGGCGUCCACGUGGCUGACAGCUGCAAAGAACUAAGUACAGUCAGGGGGCAGGUGGCCGGUAGCUUGAAUUUCUUAGCAUUUGUUCAAUUCUCUGCCUUUCAGUGUGGUCAGAUGAUUACUGGUGAAGAUUUCUGGGAAGACUCUUUGAAAAGAAUAAAGAGGAGGAAGGAAUGGAGCCUCCCAAAGUGGAAACCCAGGGGGUGAGAUCGAAGGCCUGCGCUUCCCCAGGAGGGGCUGGUACUUUCCCCACAGGGCACUUAGAUGUGGGUGGCGAUGGGUGAGGUGAACGGAGAAGCCUGCUUCUCUAUCCGUGUGGGGCUUGAGAUGAGAAGUAUCCUCCAGCAUGCUUGGGUCCCAACUUGAGAUUGCUCAAACUAGGUGGGGGUCUGAGAUGUGAAGGAACAGUGAGGACGCCCCCUCGCUGGCAUCCCGCAUCCUCCUGACCUUUCCUGCACUAUCACUGUGAAGACUUUGGUAUCAGGCUCACACUCUUCCUAUUCCUGGCCUGAUUCCGGGGAGCCCCAGCCCCUCAGAUGGACCCAGGUGCCAGCACUUUCUCCUGCUUCUCCAUAC